GGAGGAAAGCAGGGGAUCGCAAGACCUUGCGCUUUUGGAGCGGCCGAUGUCUGAUUAGCUAGUUGGUGAGGUAAAGGCUUACCAAGGCGUCGAUCAGUAGCUGGUCUGAGAGGACGACCAGCCACACUGGGACUGAGACACGGCCCAGACUCCUACGGGAGGCAGCAGUGGGGAAUUUUGGACAAUGGGGGAAACCCUGAUCCAGCCAUGCCGCGUGAGUGAAGAAGGCCUUCGGGUUGUAAAGCUCUUUCAGCCGGAACGAAACGGUUACGGUUAAUACCCGUGACUACUGACGGUACCGGAAGAAGAAGCACCGGCUAACUACGUGCCAGCAGCCGCGGUAAUACGUAGGGUGCGAGCGUUAAUCGGAAUUACUGGGCGUAAAGGGUGCGCAGGCGGUCUUGCAAGUCAGAUGUGAAAGCCCCGGGCUUAACCUGGGAAUUGCGUUUGAAACUACAAAGCUAG
rnacentral:rRNA from 1 species